UGGGGAAUAUUGCGCAAUGGGGGAAACCCUGACGCAGCGACGCCGCGUGCGGGAUGAAGGCCUUCGGGUUGUAAACCGCUUUUGAUUGGGAGCAAGCUUUCGGGUGAGUGUACCUUUCGAAUAAGCGCCGGCUAACUACGUGCCAGCAGCCGCGGUAAUACGUAGGUGGCAAGCGUUGUCCGGAUUUAUUGGGCGUAAAGCGAGCGCAGGCGGUUAGAUAAGUCUGAAGUUAAAGGCAGUGGCUCAACCAUUGUAGGCUUUGGAAACUGUUUAACUUGAGUGCAGAAGGGGAGAGUGGAAUUCCAUGUGUAGCGGUGAAAUGCGUAGAUAUAUGGAGGAACACCGGUGGCGAAAGCGGCUCUCUGGUCUGUAACUGACGCUGAGGCUCGAAAGCGUGGGGAGCGAACAGG
rnacentral:rRNA from 1 species